rnacentral:rRNA from 1 species
AUUCCAGCUCUAAUAGCGUAUAUUAAAGUUGUUGCAGUUAAAAAGCUCGUAGUCGGAUUUCGGGCUCGGGCAGGCUGUCGGCCUCGGUCGGACGGCAGGCUCGGGCCUUUCUGCCUGGGGACUCCGUCACACUUAACUGUGGGGCGGUUGGACGCAGGCCGUUUACUUUGAAAAAAUUAGAGUGUUCAAAGCAGGCCUACGCUUGAAUACGUUAGCAUGGAAUAAUGGAAUAGGACCCUGGUUCUAUUUUGUUGGUUUUGAGAACCAGAGUAAUGAUUAAUAGGGAUAGUUGGGGGCAUUCAUAUUUCAUUGUCAGAGGUGAAAUUCUUGGAUUUAUGAAAGAUGAACUUCUGCGAAAGCAUUUGCCAAGGAUGUUUUCAUUA